rfam:Gorilla gorilla gorilla genomic chromosome, chr8, whole genome shotgun sequence
CCAAAGGCUUUAUUGGAAGCCAAACAAUGUAUACCAUAUUUAGUAU